rnacentral:rRNA from 1 species
AUACGGAGGGUGCAAGCGUUACUCGGAAUCACUGGGCGUAAAGCGCGCGCAGGCGGUCUUUUAAGUUGGAUGUGAAAGCCUACGGCUCAACCGUAGAACUGCAUCCAAAACUAUUAGACUAGAGUGUGGGAGAGGAAGAUGGAAUUAGUUGUGUAGGGGUAAAAUCCGUAGAGAUAACUAGGAAUACCAAAAGCGAAGGCAAUCUUCUGGAACACUACUGACGCUGAGGCGCGAAAGCGUGGGGAGCAAACAGGAGUAGAAACCCCUGUAGUCC